rnacentral:rRNA from 1 species
UACGUAGGGGGCAAGCGUUGUCCGGAAUUAUUGGGCGUAAAGCGCGCGCAGGCGGCUUCUUAAGUCUGGUGUUUAAACCCGGGGCUCAACCCCGGGUCGCAUGGGAAACUGGGGAGCUUGAGUGCAGAAGAGGAGAGUGGAAUUCCACGUGUAGCGGUGAAAUGCGUAGAGAUGUGGAGGAACACCAGUGGCGAAGGCGACUCUCUGGGCUGUAACUGACGCUGAGGCGCGAAAGCGUGGGGAGCAAACAGG